GAUGAACGCUGGCGGCGUGCCUAAUACAUGCAAGUCGAGCGAACGGACGAGAAGCUUGCUUCUCUGAUGUUAGCGGCGGACGGGUGAGUAACACGUGGAUAACCUACCUAUAAGACUGGGAUAACUUCGGGAAACCGGGGCUAAUACCGGAUAAUAUUUUGAACCGCAUGGUUCAAAGGUGAAAGACGGUCUUGCUGUCACUUAUAGAUGGAUCCGCGCUGCAUUAGCUAGUUGGUAAGGUAACGGCUUACCAAGGCAACGAUGCAUAGCCGACCUGAGAGGGUGAUCGGCCACACUGGAACUGAGACACGGUCCAGACUCCUACGGGAGGCAGCAGUAGGGAAUCUUCCGCAAUGGGCGAAAGCCUGACGGAGCAACGCCGCGUGAGUGAUGAAGGUCUUCGGAUCGUAAAACUCUGUUAUUAGGGAAGAACAUAUGUGUAAGUAACUGUGCACAUCUUGACGGUACCUAAUCAGAAAGCCACGGCUAACUACGUG
rnacentral:rRNA from 1 species